rnacentral:rRNA from 1 species
GUCGGCGUGCCUAAUACAUGCAAGUCGAACGCUUCUUUCCUCCCGAGUGCUUGCACUCAAUUGGAAAGAGGAGUGGCGGACGGGUGAGUAACACGUGGGUAACCUACCCAUCAGAGGGGGAUAACACUUGGAAACAGGUGCUAAUACCGCAUAACAGUUUAUGCCGCAUGGCAUAAGAGUGAAAGGCGCUUUCGGGUGUCGUUGAUGGAUGGACCCGCGGUGCAUUAGCUAGUUGGUGAGGUAACGGCUCACCAAGGCCACGAUGCAUAGCCGACCUGAGAGGGUGAUCGGCCACACUGGGACUGAGACACGGCCCAGACUCCUACGGGAGGCAGCAGUAGGGAAUCUUCGGCAAUGGACGAAAGUCUGACCGAGCAACGCCGCGUGAGUGAAGAAGGUUUUCGGAUCGUAAAACUCUGUUGUUAGAGAAGAACAAGGACGUUAGUAACUGAACGUCCCCUGACGGUAUCUAACCAGAAAGCCACGGCUAACUACGUGCCAGCAGCCGCGGUAAUACGUAGGUGGCAAGCGUUGUCCGGAUUUAUUGGGCGUAAAGCGAGCGCAGGCGGUUUCUUAAGUCUGAUGUGAAAGCCCCCGGCUCAACCGGGGAGGGUCAUUGGAAACUGGGAGACUUGAGUGCAGAAGAGGAGAGUGGAAUUCCAUGUGUAGCGGUGAAAUGCGUAGAUAUAUGGAGGAACACCAGUGGCGAAGGCGGCUCUCUGGUCUGUAACUGACGCUGAGGCUCGAAAGCGUGGGGAGCAAACAGGAUUAGAUACCCUGGUAGUCCACGCCGUAAACGAUGAGUGCUAAGUGUUGGAGGGUUUCCGCCCUUCAGUGCUGCAGCAAACGCAUUAAGCACUCCGCCUGGGGAGUACGACCGCAAGGUUGAAACUCAAAGGAAUUGACGGGGGCCCGCACAAGCGGUGGAGCAUGUGGUUUAAUUCAAAGCAACGCGAAGAACCUUACCAGGUCUUGACAUCCUUUGACCACUCUAGAGAUAGAGCUUUCCCUUCGGGGACAAAGUGACAGGUGGUGCAUGGUUGUCGUCAGCUCGUGUCGUGAGAUGUUGGGUUAAGUCCCGCAACGAGCGCAACCCUUAUUGUUAGUUGCCAUCAUUUAGUUGGGCACUCUAGCGAGACUGCCGGUGACAAACCGGAGGAAGGUGGGGAUGACGUCAAAUCAUCAUGCCCCUUAUGACCUGGGCUACACACGUGCUACAAUGGGAAGUACAACGAGUCGCUAGACCGCGAGGUCAUGCAAAUCUCUUAAAGCUUCUCUCAGUUCGGAUUGCAGGCUGCAACUCGCCUGCAUGAAGCCGGAAUCGCUAGUAAUCGCGGAUCAGCACGCCGCGGUGAAUACGUUCCCGGGCCUUGUACACACCGCCCGUCACACCACGAGAGUUUGUAACACCCGAAGUCGGUGAGGUAACCUUUUUGGAGCCAGCCGCCUAAGGUGGGAUAGAUGAUUGG